GGACCCUUAGCUCAGUUGGCAGAGCAACUGACUCUUAAUCAGUGGGUCCGGGGUUCGAAUCCCCGAGGGUCCACCA
rnacentral:tRNA from 1 species